CGUAAAACAAACCUGCCUUAAGGAUGGGGAUAACAGACGGAAACGACUGCUAAUACCGAAUACGUUCUAAGCAUCGCAUGGUGCAUAGAAGAAAGGGUGGCCUCUACAAGAAAGCUAUCGCCUUAAGAGGGGUUUGCGACUGAUUAGGUAGUUGGUGAGGUAACGGCUCACCAAGCCGACGAUCAGUAGCCGGUCUGAGAGGAUGAACGGCCACACUGGAACUGAGAUACGGCCCAG
rnacentral:rRNA from 1 species